GCAGCCGGGCGCUGGAGCGAUGAGCCCGGCCGCAACGUCUUCCUGCACAGCGCGCCGUUCUA
rnacentral:tRNA from 1 species